AUGGCCAUGCCAUGCUGAAUAUACCGGUUCUCGUUAGAUCACGAAGUCAAGCAUCAUUUCAUUGGGCGCGGUCAGUACUUGGGUGGGUGACCACCUGAGAACAUAGCGUGCCGUU